rnacentral:lncRNA from 1 species
UGCUGCCGCUCCGGGAGGUGAAAGCGCUCCGGGUCGGCACACAGGCCGCCCUUGACUGCGGAGCGCCGGCAGGCAGCAAUGGGGACAGCCCUGUGGAAGGCGAGGGGGAGGGCAGAGACUAGGGGAGGCCCCCAGUGGCUCAGAGACUGUGGGUUCGGCGUCCUCCUUCUGGAACUCUGGCGGGCCCUUCGCAGGCAGCAGUAGACAGCGACUGCGCCCGGGCCUGCUGGGCCCUCCUGCCAUCCUGUGGCCACAGAGGCUGCUUGGAACCGUUAGGGAAUUUACUGGGGAUUCAGUGCACGUGUUUAUCUAUCCCUUCAACUUCAUUCUUUCCUCUUCACCACGAAAACCGCACAUCCUCGACCCCAUAUGGAUGGGGCUCUUGUCUUUGGCGCAACUGCUGGGGUGCUCCGAAUCUCCUCGCCACUGCGCUCAGCCUAGAGAUCCCGAACGCUGGAGCCGCUGAGGUAGCAGGGGCGCAACGCACGCCUUCCGGGUUCCCCAGCAGUUCCCGGGCUGCAAAGGGAUUUCGCCAGAUGUUUUCAACUCUCUUUCUAACUGCUGGGGUGUUGGAGACCACUUGCAAACAACCCCACCCCACCGCCCACCUCUCCCCAAUGCGCUCUCCUAACGCAAACCUCAAAUAAACACACACAAUGAGUUACUGGUGUUUCGACUCCACGCUACGCGCUUUGCGCUUUGCAUGCAGCUGUAUCCUUCUUUCCUCUCUCUUCUCGCAUUCUUCUUGU